rnacentral:rRNA from 1 species
GGCCUCGAAUCAGGUGGGACUACCCGCUGAACUUAAG